rnacentral:RNase_P_RNA from 1 species
AAGGUAAGACGUUCUAUCGCGCCGCGAAAGCGGUGAGGAAAGUCCGGACAGCUCAGAGCACCUCCCUGUGGAAAGCACAGAAGGGCGUAAGUUUUUGGAACGAGCGUAACAGAAAAUAACCGCCGGUAUUCCGGUAAGGGUGAAAAUGCGAGGCAAGAGCUCACAACGUAAGGCGGUGACGCCGGACGGGUACGCGCCGGAGGGCUGCAAGGCCAAAUAUAUCGGUUUUAAGGGUUGCUCGCCCGAUGCCGAGGGGUAGGCUGCAACAGAUAAAUGAUAGAAGCCCGAAAGGGUACAGAAUUCGGCUUACAGGCUCACCUUAUUU